GCUCUCGUGGCCAAAUGGCUCAAGGCACCGGACUUCUAUCAAAAGUUAAUCCGGAGAUUGUGGGUUCGAUCCCCACCGGGAGCU